rnacentral:rRNA from 1 species
CACAUGCAAGUCGAACGGUAGCACAAAGGAGCUUGCUCCUUGGGUGACGAGUGGCGGACGGGUGAGUAAUGCUUGGGAAUCUGGCUCAUGGAGGGGGAUAACUACGGGAAACUGUAGCUAAUACCGCGUAAUAUCUUCGGAUUAAAGUGUGGGACCGCAAGGCCACWUGCCAUGAGAUGAGCCCAAGUGGGAUUAGGUAGUUGGUGGGGUAAAGGCCUACCAAGCCGACGAUCUCUAGCUGGUCUGAGAGGAUGACCAGCCACACUGGAACUGAGACACGGUCCAGACUCCUACGGGAGGCAGCAGUGGGGAAUAUUGCACAAUGGGGGGAACCCUGAUGCAGCCAUGCCGCGUGAAUGAAGAAGGCCUUCGGGUUGUAAAGUUCUUUCGGUAGCGAGGAAGGUGGUAAUGUUAAUAGCAUUAUCAAUUGACGUUAACUACAGAAGAAGCACCGGCUAACUCCGUGCCAGCAGCCGCGGUAAUACGGAGGGUGCGAGCGUUAAUCGGAAUAACUGGGCGUAAAGGGCACGCAGGCGGUUGAUUAAGUGAGAUGUGAAAGCCCCGGGCUUAACCUGGGAAUUGCAUUUCAUACUGGUCAACUAGAGUACUUUAGGGAGGGGUAGAAUUCCACGUGUAGCGGUGAAAUGCGUAGAGAUGUGGAGGAAUACCGAAGGCGAAGGCAGCCCCUUGGGAAUGUACUGACGCUCAUGUGCGAAAGCGUGGGGAGCAAACAGGAUUAGAUACCC